rnacentral:rRNA from 1 species
AUUGAACGCUGGCGGCAUGCCUAACACAUGCAAGUCGAGCGGAUGAAGGUAGCUUGCUCCUGGAUUCAGCGGCGGACGGGUGAGUAACGCCUAGGAAUCUGCCUGGUAGCGGGGGAUAACGUCCGGAAAUGGGCGCUAAUACCGCAUACGUCUUGCGGCACAAAGUGGGGGAUCUUCGGACCUUACGCUAUCAGAUGAGCCUAGGUCGUAUCAGCUAGUUGGUGGGGUAAAGGCAUACCAAGGCGACGAUCCGUAACUGGUCUGAGAGGAUGAUCAGUCACACGGGAACUGAGACAAGGUCCAGAAUCCUACCGGAGGCAGCAGUGGGGAAUCUUGGACAAUGGGCGGAAGCCUGAUCCAGCCAUGCCGCGUAUGUGUAGAACGUCUUCGGAUUGUAAAGCAAUUUAAGUUGGGAGGUGGAGAAGUAAGUUAAUACCUUGCUAUUUUGACGUUACCAACAGAAUAAGCACCGGCUAACUUCGUG